GAUGAACGCUGGCGGCGUGCCUAAUACAUGCAAGUCGAGCGAACGGACGAGAAGCUUGCUUCUCUGAUGUUAGCGGCGGACGGGUGAGUAACACGUGGAUAACCUCCCUAUAAGACUGGGAUAACUUCGGGAAACCGUAGCUAAUACCGGAUAAUAUUUUGAACCGCAUGGUUCAAAAGUUAAAGACGGUCUUGCUGUCACUUAUAGAUGGAUCCGCGCUGCAUUAGCUAGUUGGUAAGGUAACGGCUUACCAAGGCAACGAUGCAUAGCCGACCUGAGAGGGUGAUCGGCCACACUGGAACUGAGACACGGUCCAGACUCCUACGGGAGGCAGCAGUAGGGAAUCUUCCGCAACGGGCGAAAGCCUGACGGAGCAACGCCGCGUGAGUGAUGAAGGUCUUCGGAUCGUAAAACUCUGUUAUUAGGGAAGAACAUAUGUGUAAGUAACUGUGCACAUCUUGACGGUACCUAAUCAGAAAGCCACGGCUAACUACGUG
rnacentral:rRNA from 1 species